rnacentral:rRNA from 1 species
GUUUGUUGUAGAUUGGAUUUGGGAGCUUGUCGUGUCUCUUCUCUUUGUGAAAAGAAAAGAGGUUGGACUCUCCUUGAAUGCAUUAGCUCGGUCACGUAGUUUGCCCGACGGUUCACGGUGUGAUAGUCUCACUUCAUCGCCGUUCCAACCGUUGGUGCCUGUGUCAUUGCCGGCUUCAAAUCUCUGGCCCUUGUAAAAGUGCCUUUACACUUUUGACGCUUGACCUCAAAUCAGGUAGGAUUACCCGCUGAACUUAAGCAUAUCAAUAAGCGGAGGAAAAGAAACUAACAAGGAUUCCCCUAGUAACUGCGAGUGAAGCGGGAAGAGCUCAAAUUUAAAAUCUGGCGGGUUUCCCGUCCGAGUUGUAAUCUGGAGAAGCGUUUUCCGCGC